UGCAGUCGAACGAUGAAGCCGGAGCUUGCUCUGGUGGAUUAGUGGCGAACGGGUGAGUAACACGUGAGUAACCUGCCCUUGACUCUGGGAUAAGCGUUGGAAACGACGUCUAAUACCGGAUACGAGCUAGGACCGCAUGGUCAUUAGCUGGAAAGAAUUUUGGUCAAGGAUGGACUCGCGGCCUAUCAGGUAGUUGGUGAGGUAACGGCUCACCAAGCCGACGACGGGUAGCCGGCCUGAGAGGGUGACCGGCCACACUGGGACUGAGACACGGCCCAGACUCCUACGGGAGGCAGCAGUGGGGAAUAUUGCACAAUGGGCGAAAGCCUGAUGCAGCAACGCCGCGUGAGGGACGACGGCCUUCGGGUUGUAAACCUCUUUUAGCAGGGAAGAAGCGAAAGUGACGGUACCUGCAGAAAAAGCACCGGCUAACUACGUGCCAGCAGCCGCGGUAAUACGUAGGGUGCAAGCGUUGUCCGGAAUUAUUGGGCGUAAAGAGCUCGUAGGCGGUUUGUCGCGUCUGCUGUGAAAACGCGAGGCUCAACCUCGCGCCUGCAGUGGGUACGGGCAAACUAGAGUGCGGUAGGGGAGAUUGGAAUUCCUGGUGUAGCGGUGGAAUGCGCAGAUAUCAGGAGGAACACCAAUG
rnacentral:rRNA from 1 species